rnacentral:rRNA from 6 species
AGACCCGAAACCCGGUGAUCUAGCCAUGGGCAGGUUGAAGGUUGGGUAACACUAACUGGAGGACCGAACCGACUAAUGUUGAAAAAUUAGCGGAUGACCUGUGGCUGGGGGUGAAAGGCCAAUCAAACCGGGAGAUAGCUGGUUCUCCCCGAAAGCUAUUUAGGUAGCGCCUCGUGAAUUCAUCUCCGGGGGUAGAGCACUGUUUCGGCUAGGGGGCCAUCCCGGCUUACCAACCCGAUGCAAACUGCGAAUACCGGAGAAUGUUAUCACGGGAGACACACGGCGGGUGCUAACGUCCGUCGUGAAGAGGGAAACAACCCAGACCGCCAGCUAAGGUCCCAAAGUCAUGGUUAAGUGGGAAACG